UACAGAGGGUGCGAGCGUUAAUCGGAAUAACUGGGCGUAAAGAGCACGUAGGUGGUUAAAGAAGUCGUAGGUGAAAGUCCCGGGCUUAACCUGGGGAUUGCCUAUGAAACUGAGAGACUGGAGUCGUGUAGAGGGAAGUGGAAUUUCCGGUGUAGCGGUGAAAUGCGUAGAUAUCGGAAAGAACACCAGUGGCGAAGGCGGCUUCCUGGACACAGACUGACACUGAGGUGCGAAAGCGUGGGGAGCAAACAGG
rnacentral:rRNA from 1 species